AAGAACUAUAGAAGAACCUCCAAGGUUGCAAGCUAUAGGUUGAUGUGCUUACUUAUAAAAGUAAUGCCAGCAUGAAAAUGCAAGAAAUUCAUCAACCCAUAUCCAGAAAAAUGGUAAACCUGUUCCUCAAUGAUUUUUUUCUCUUGCGGCUGUAAUCUCAUCACUCAAGUUUUCUGUAAAACAUGGCUGAGGAGAACCCUUCUGAUGGAGAUGGAAUCACUGAGGCAAGAAGCUGCAUCAAAAAGUCUUUCUCCUUUGCAGAUUCCACGGAUUACCUGUUAAUGACUGUUGGUACAUUUAGUGCCAUUUGGUAAUGGACUAUGUGUCAAUUCGUUUACUUGGUUCUUGGAGCAGCUGCUACGGCAUUUCUAUUCGUUUACUUCAGUAGUCCCUGCUUCCUACAAUACUUGAUGUUUUGAUAGAAUGAUUUGAUAGAAUGUUAUUGUA